UACGGAGGGUGCAAGCGUUAUCCGGAUUUACUGGGUUUAAAGGGUGCGCAGGCGGAUAUGUAAGUCAGUGGUGAAAUCUCCGGGCUUAACCCGGAACUGCCGUUGAUACUAUAUAUCUUGAAUGCUGUGGAGGUAAGCGGAAUAUGUCAUGUAGCGGUGAAAUGCUUAGAUAUGACAUAGAACACCUAUUGCGAAGGCAGCUUACUACACAGAUAUUGACGCUCAUGCACGAAAGCGUGGGGAUCAAACAGG
rnacentral:rRNA from 1 species